rnacentral:rRNA from 1 species
AACGAACGCUGGCGGCAUGCCUAACACAUGCAAGUCGAACGAAGCCUUCGGGCUUAGUGGCGCACGGGUGCGUAACGCGUGGGAAUCUGCCCUGGGGUUCGGAAUAACAGUUAGAAAUGACUGCUAAUACCGGAUGAUGUCUUCGGACCAAAGAUUUAUCUCCCAAGGAUGAGCCCGCGCAGGAUUAGGUAGUUGGUGGGGUAAUGGCCCACCAAGCCGACGAUCCUUAGCUGGUCUGAGAGGAUGAUCAGCCACACUGGGACUGAGACACGGCCCAGACUCCUACGGGAGGCAGCAGUGGGGAAUAUUGGACAAUGGGCGAAAGCCUGAUCCAGCAAUGCCGCGUGAGUGAUGAAGGCCUUAGGGUUGUAAAGCUCUUUUACCAGGGAUGAUAAUGACAGUACCUGGAGAAUAAGCUCCGGCUAACUCCGUGCCAGCCGCCGCGGUAA